GCCAAGAGCAGAAGCUCAGCAGGUAGAGCAGGAGACUCUUAAUUGUAGGGUUGUGGGUUCGAGCCCCACAUUGGGCA